rnacentral:rRNA from 1 species
GAUGAACGCUGGCGGCGUGCCUAAUACAUGCAAGUCGAGCGGACGGACGAGAAGCUUGCUUCUCUGAUGUUAGCGGCGGACGGGUGAGUAACACGUGGAUAACCUACCUAUAAGACUGGGAUAACUUCGGGAAACCGGAGCUAAUACCGGAUAAUAUUUUGAACCGCAUGGUUCAAAAGUGAGAGACGGUCUUGCUGUCACUUCUAGAUGGAUCCGCGCUGCAUUAGCUAGUUGGUAAGGUAACGGCUUACCAAGGCAACGAUGCAUAGCCGACCUGAGAGGGUGAUCGGCCACACUGGAACUGAGACACGGUCCAGACUCCUACGGGAGGCAGCAGUAGGGAAUCUUCCGCAAUGGGCGAAAGCCUGACGGAGCAACGCCGCGUGAGUGAUGAAGGUCUUCGGAUCGUAAAACUCUGUUAUUAGGGAAGAACAUAUGUGUAAGUAACUGCGCACAUCUUGACGGUACCUAAUCAGAAAGCCACGGCUAACUACGUG